AUGGCCUGGACUCCUCUGCUCCUCGCGCUCCUCUCUCACUGCACAGGGUCCCUCUCCCAGCCGGUGCUGACUCAGCCGCCCUCCCUCUCUGCAUCUCCGGGAGCCACAGCCAGGCUCACCUGCACCCUGAGUGGUGUUUCCGAUAUUAGUGAUAACUGGAUACUCUGGUUCCAGCAGAAGCCAGGGAGCCGUCCCCGGUUUCUCCUGGAAUAUAAAUCAGACUCAAGUAAGAACCAGGGCUCCGGGGUCCCCAGCCGCUUCUCUGGAUCCAAAGACGCCUCGGCCAAAGCGGGGCUCCUGACCAUCUCGGGGCUGCAGCCUGAGGACGAGGCCGACUAUCACUGCGCUACAACUCACGGCAGGUCCCUCUCCCAGCCGGUGCUGACUCAGCCACCCUCCCUCUCUGCAUCUCCGGGAGCCACAGCCACGCUCACCUGCACCCUGAGCAGUGGCUCCAAUGUUAAUAGCUACGUUAUAGCCUGGUACCAGCAGAAGCCAGGGAGCCCUCUCCGGUACCUCCUGGCCUAUAAAUCAGACUCAGAUAAGAGACAGGGUACCGGGGUGCCCAGCCGCUUUUCUGGAUCCAAAGACGCCUCGGCCAAUGCGGGGCUCCUGACCAUCUCGGGGCUGCAGCCUGAGGACGAGGCUGACUAUUACUGUGCCACAGCUCAUGGCAGUGGGAGCAGCUACAGUUACCCACAGUGUCUCAGAUGA